CCAAUAGCGUAUAUUAAAGUUGUUGCAGUUAAAAAGCUCGUAGUUGAAUUUCGGGAUCAAUUUAUUGGUCGUGCUAUUGUACGUACUGGUAUUAUUGAUUCCUACCUUCUGACGAACCAUGAUGUCAUUAAUUUGGUGUCUUGGGGAAUCAGGACUGUUACUUUGAAAAAAUUAGAGUGUUUAAAGCAGGCUCACGCUUG
rnacentral:rRNA from 1 species